UACGGAGGGUGCAAGCGUUAUCCGGAUUUACUGGGUUUAAAGGGUGCGUAGGUGGGUAAGUAAGUCAGUGGUGAAAUCUUCGAGCUUAACUCGGAAACUGCCAUUGAUACUAUUUAUCUUGAAUACUCUGGAGGUAAGCGGAAUAUGUCAUGUAGCGGUGAAAUGCUUAGAUAUGACAUAGAACACCAAUUGCGAAGGCAGCUUACUACAUAGUUAUUGACACUGAGGCACGAAAGCGUGGGGAGCAAACAGG
rnacentral:rRNA from 1 species